UUCUAAGAGAUACUCAAGAAAAUUUAAUACAUUGUUCUCCCCCUGUUUUAUUAAAUUAGAGGCUCUUAAGAUUUGUAAUUUGGUUCAUGAGUGAUGCAUAAGAUAUACUAACCAAAUAACACGCCUCAAGGUGUAUCAUAAAGAUUUUCAGAUUUAAAUUUCAGAUGAUACAUAUUGGAGAGUAUUAGGAUCACUUUUCAUUUAGUAUUCUUUCCCUCUCCUAUAGAUUCAUGUAAUUAAGUUCCAUAAGACCUCUCCUUCUGAAAUGUUCUUUCUCCCCCUCUAUUGAUCAUUCCAUUUAAGAGUUUAGAAUUUGAAGAUAAUGUUCAAUAAGAUUGUCAAUCUCAAAAAUAUAUUUUCUAUAAGUUUCAGCUCAUUUUCAUAAGACUCAAGGUUUGAGAUAAGACAGCCUUUAUAGAACUCAUCUCAAGGUAAUUAAAGCAUGUCUUGCAAUAUAAGGAGGUUCAUCAAAAUCAAUCCAUAAAAUUCAAGGUAUGCAUCAAAUUAAAGUUU
rnacentral:lncRNA from 1 species